GAUGAACGCUGGCGGCGUGCCUAAUACAUGCAAGUCGAGCGAACAGACGAGGAGCUUUCUCCUCUGACGUUAGCGGCGGACGGGUGAGUAACACGUGGAUAACCUACCUAUAAGACUGGGAUAACUUCGGGAAACCGGAGCUAAUACCGGAUAAUAUCUUGAACCGCAUGGUUCAAUAGUGAAAGACGGUUUUGCUGUCACUUAUAGAUUGAUCCGCGCCGCAUUAGCUAGUUGGUAAGGUAACGGCUUACCAAGGCGACGAUGCGUAGCCGACCUGAGAGGGUGAUCGGCCACACGGGAACUGAGACACGGUCCAGACUCCUACGGGAGGCAGCAGUAGGGAAUCUUCCGCAAUGGGCGAAAGCUUGACGGAGCAACGCCGCGUGAGUGAUGAAGGUCUUCGGAUCGUAAAACUCUGUUAUUAGGGAAGAACAAAUGUGUAAGUAACUAUGCACGUCUUGACGGUACCUAAUCAGAAAGCCACGGCUAACUACGUG
rnacentral:rRNA from 1 species